UCACCAGGGUCUUCCAUCCAGUCUCAUCCAGUCACCAGGGGUCAUCCAUCCAGUCUUCCAUCCAGUCUUUCACAGGGUCUUCCAUCCAGUCUUCCAUCCAGUCCCAUCCAGGGUCUUCCAUCCAGUCUUCCAUCCAGUCCACCAGGGUCUUCCAUCCAGUCACCAGGGUCUUCCAUCCAGUCACCAGGGUCAGGGUCUUCCAUCCAGUCACCAGGGUCUUCCAUCCAGUCACCAGGGUCUUCCAUCCAGUCACCAGGGGCUUCCAUCCAGUCACCAGGGGCUUCCAUCCAGUCUUCCAUCCAGUCACCAGGGUCUUCCAUCCAUCACCAGGGUCUUCCAUCCAGUCACCAGGGUCUUCCAUCCAGUCACCAGGGUCUUCCAUCCAGUCUUCCAUCCAGUCAGGGUCUUCCAUCCAGUCUUCCAUCCAGUCACCAGGGUCUUCCAUCCAGGUCUUUCCAUCCAGUCACCAGGGUCUUCCAUCCAGUCACCAGGGUCUUCCAUCCAGUCACCAGGGUCUUCCAUCCAGUCACCAUGGGCUUACAUCCAGUCUUCCAUCUAGUCACCAGGGUCUUCCAUUCAGUCACCAGGGUCUUCCAUCCAGUCACCAGGGUCAUCCAUCCAGUCACCAGGGUCAUCCAUCCAGUCUUCCAUCCAGUCACCAAGGUCUUCCAUCCAGUCACCAGGGUCUUCCAUCCAUCCCUCACCAGGGUCUUCCAUCCAUCCUCAGGGUCUUCCAUCCAUCCAGUCACAGCAGUGUCUUCUGUCCAUCCAGUCACACAAAGGUCUUCUGUCAUCCAGU